rnacentral:SRP_RNA from 14 species
AUGGGCAGGAAACGCUGCAGGGGCAACAGAGCAGGCAGCUCAAGCUUCGCUGUGGCACUUGUUACGAGG